CCUACGGGUUGCACCAGUGGGGAAUAUUGCACAAUGGGCGAAAGCCUGAUGCAGCAAUGCCACGUGAGUGAAGAAGGCCUGCGGGUUGUAAAGCACUCUCAGUAGGGAGGAUUAUGACGUUACCUACAGAAGAAGCACCGGCUAACUCUGUGCCAGCAGCCGCGGUAAUACAGAGGGUGCGAGCGUUAAUCGGAAUUACUGGGCGUAAAGCGCGCGUAGGCGGCUUGGUCAGUCGGAUGUGAAAGCCCCGGGUUUAACCUGGGAAUUGCAUUCGAUACUGCCAGGCUGGAGUGUAGUAGAGGGAAGCGGAAUUCCGGGUGUAGCGGUGAAAUGCGUAGAGAUCCGGAGGAACAUCAGUGGCGAAGGCGGCUUCCUGGACUAACACUGACGCUGAGGUGCGAAAGCGUGGGGAGCAAACAGGAUUAGAUACCCGAGUAGUC
rnacentral:rRNA from 1 species